GCCCAGCACAAAGACUUGUCCCCAGGGGCCGCCGCCUCCCCCGCUGCUGCUGCCGCCAGCCUAGAGCCGCCCGCCGAAGCAGAGCCGGCGCCGGGGUCCUCAUCCCCACCGGUCCCGAGGGGCGGCUGCUGCCCGUCGCCACGAGGCCCAGGGGCCCGAGUGCCGAGCCCUUUGCUCCCUCGGCCGCGCGGGGACAGGGCGGCUGAGCAGCCUCCGCCUCUCCCGGCUGUGGGGGCCCCACUGAGUAUGUCGGAAGAGAGCGACAUGGAGAAAGCCAUCAAGGAAACUUCCAUUUUAGAAGAAUACAGUAUCAAUUGGACUCAGAAGCUGGGAGCUGGAAUUAGUGGUCCAGUUAGAGUCUGUGUAAAGAAAUCUACUCAAGAACGGUUUGCACUGAAAAUUCUUCUUGAUCGUCCAAAAGCUAGAAAUGAGGUACGUCUGCACAUGAUGUGUGCCACACACCCAAACAUAGUUCAGAUUAUUGAAGUGUUUGCUAACAGUGUCCAGUUUCCUCAUGAGUCCAGCCCUAGAUAGCUUUGGCUCUGCGGCACUGUCACUUGUUAAACA
rnacentral:sRNA from 1 species